AAGUCGUAACAAGGUUUCCGUAGGUGAACCUGCGGAAGGAUCAUUCAAGUAAAUGAAUCCCCCACACUUGCCAAACUGUAACAUUUGAUGCUGGGGAGGUAAAGGAAGAGUAGCGGGAGUUCCCAAUACUCUAGUUUACUUUAGUAGCGGGAGUUCCCAAUACUCUAGUUUACUUUAGUAGCGGGAGUUCCCAAUACUCUAGUUUACUUCCCCAGUAGUCAUCCCCAUUACGUUCUAUUGUAAAGAUUUGGUCCGGUUUAAAUUAUUUAAAAUUUAAUACAACCUUUAACAAUGGAUCUCUUGGUUCCU
rnacentral:misc_RNA from 1 species